CAUACAUUAUUGUAUUUAAACCCUGUUGCUGAGCUCAAAAUAAAGCACUUUCCCACAUGACUGUGGGGACGAGCACUUCUGUGGUGUUUGGAAUUUUUAUAAUUAAAAAACAAAUACUGCCACAUUGAUGCGCAAGAAGGUUUAAUUGUUCAAAUAUUGUUUCAUAUUAAAAUAUAAAAAAAAAAAAUUUUCAAUAUAAAAAAAAAGUGUUUUCAAGUGUAAUAUUUCUGUAAAGGGACAGAAAAGUUGACUUUUCUGUAGAAUGACCCAUUCAUUGUAAAAUGAAGCAGUAACUUCAACCUACUACUAACUAAUUAAAGAUGUCAUCAGAUCAUGUGUGCUUUCAGCAGUUAUCAUUUUAAACAUCAAAAUCAUGAUGCCCCCCAACAGCAGGCUACUGAAUAUAAGAUGUGGGAUAAUAUAAGAAUGGGACAUUUUAUCCAAGUCAUCUCAAUGGUAAAAAGUGUCCCAAUCACCCUGAACUGGAGCUCUAAAAUAAUGUUAUUGACUUCAACUGAUGAAUGCAGCCAAAGAAAAGAUGAAGAAUGGAAAAGCACUUUGCUGGCAAAGAAAUUGGAAAAUAACACAGGUAAGACAAUUCCUAUACCCAUAAAUACCUGUCAAACAUGGUUUUAUUAAAGAAAAGUUAUUUAAAAAAAUUACUUUAAUUUUUACACAUAAGAAAGGUAUAGCAUGUGGCAAAAAGUGUAAUAUAGCCACACUGUGAGAUACAAGCAAGUGACGAUCGAGUGACGUCAUUCUUUAGGUUACGCGCAUGUAUCCAUGGCAACGCUCGGCUGCGUCGACAGUUAACGGUCCUGCCGGUGAUUUUCUCAGAUGAGGCCUUGAGUUUUCUCUUUCGUCGGUCGAAAAGGUUAGAAGCCAUCGAAAAAACUGCCAUCGGACUAACGUACCACAGCUGACAACGAGAGACGCGCGUGCACAACUGCAUAACACACACACGGAAAGAGCACAACAAUUAUGAAACUGCUCAUUUAUUAUAAAUAAAUAAAUGUAUUUUUCUCCUUA